UGGGUACAUUGCUAAUUUAAAUGUAUUUUGCAUCAUUAGUAUACUUAAUCACUUUUAAGUUUUAUAAUGUUAUAAUUUUAUGUUUUUAUAAUGCUAUUUUUAAAAAUAUUUUAGCAUGCGUAAUAAAUAGAAGUGUGCAAAAAGCUCGAAGCUCGGUCGAGCUUUUUAUUUUUCGAGCCGAGCUGUGUAAAAAGCUCGAACAUUUUCGAGUACUCGAAAUAUUCGAACCCCCGUGUAAAUUUCAAUUUUUCAUUAAUUUCUAAUUCAUAAAGGGUGUAAAAUAUACAUGUAUAUCCAAAUAGCACAACAUAUGAUCUCAAUAUUGUGUCAAUAUUGCCCGGCUAUGUUUAGGCAAUGUUGCCUUAAUAUGGACUAUGUUCGAGUACUCGAAUUCACUCGAGUGCUCGAAAAACCGAGUACACGACACAUCGAGCCGAGCUCGAGCUCGGCCAUUCGAGCUUUUUACACACCUCUAGUAAUAAAUAAACAUAUUAUUUUUGCAUUUUAUUAGUUCCUUGGAAGCACAAAAUCAACAGAUUUUACAACAACAAUACAUGAUUUUCCAAGAAUUAAAUAGAAUAAACAAUGUGGAAAAGGAGAAAUUAUCGGAAACGUUCUUAUCACCACUCACAGGUUACCCUUUAAACGAGUUUUCAGAAUUUAAUUUUUUUGAAUCUGAAGAGGGGAAAGAGACUCGUACGAAACUCUAUAAUCAUUUACUUAAUAACGGAGGAACUUCUCUGAGAAGUUUUUUGUCUAAUGCGUUGCGUCAAACACUGACAGAUAAACUUGUUUGUAAUUUUACAUGGAAUGGGAAAAAGGACACCAUGAAUUUUGGCAACACGAGACUUGCGAAUGUUUUAUAUCAAUCUGCUAAACAGUGCAUGAAUUUAAAAGGACCUUUAAAUAAGGAAGAUUAUAAGUCCCACAUGUUCGAAGUACUGCGGCACACAAAACAGCGCUAUCGAAGCAAUAUUAAAAAAAACCUACCGUCUACAGCCGACGAAUUAGAAAGAGCAAUAUUAGAAUUGGAAGCCAGCAAUUUAGACGAAGGUGAAGAAGAUGAAGAUAAUGCCAAUGAUAAUGAGGAUGAUAAUGAGGAUGGUGAUGAUGAAGAUGAUGGUAGCGAUGACGAUAAAGAAGUUUAUGGAGCUGAUGAGUUCAAUUUAGAAUAAAGUUUAUUUAUUUAUUUAUGCCUGUAGAACAAUAAUAUCUUUAAUUUUUUCAUUUCAGGUGACUGCGAAAGGCCCUGGAGUGUACCAAAAAUUUUUUGUUUUUUUCCGAGGAGUCUACUUCGACGUUAAAAAUUAGUAACACAUUAAGGUUUUAUCACGUGGAAAUCCACGUCGAGAUUUGAAGCGAUCUAGAUGGAAUCCGUCAGGAAUUUUUUACAAUCUAAAUAAGCAUCAAAUGUAUUUAAGAACCUUUUUGAUAACGUGGAUAAUCAGGACUUACACCCUUUUGGAGUCUCAAAAUUAAAUUUGAUAACUAUUUUUUAAUAUCCCUGAAAGUUUAAAAGAUGAACAAAUUUUCAUUUAAAUUUGUGCCCGCAUAGUUUUAAUCACUACAUGAAUUUCCACCUGAAAAUUUUUUUCAGUUAGUUCAAUUUGGUAAAAUAAAAAUAUUUUUCAAUUGAAGCCAAGAUUUUUUUAAUAUCAAAAGAAUAAUUGAAGGGUAGAAUGACAAAAGGGGUCAAGCGCCAAUUCACUUUUUUUACAGGAAAUAAAAAAAACAUAUUUAAAAAUUCUGCAGGUCAUUUAAAAAAACUGAGAAAACCGUUUCGAGAUAUUAGUAUGUUUUAAUAAAUAAACAACAAUUUGUUAAAAUAUACCUACAUAUUAAUGAGAAAAGUAAAAAAAAACUCUGGUGCUUUGAGGUUAUAUCAACUGCGCACAUUUUCUUUAAGCAUUAAUUGUGAAAAAAUAUACAAUUUAAAGAAAAUGUGGGAAAUUAGUUUCUUUCUAUUGAUUCGACGAAUUGAAUAAAAAAAGAUUGCUUCAAAGAAGUUAUUUAUUUUCAAGAAAAUUGAGAAUUAAGUAUUCUGGUUUGAAAAUUGAGCAAUACUCUAAUUUUUAAAUUUAAAUAUUAACAAUUAUUGUCAUCAGAACUAUUACUAUUACAAAAAUGUGUACAAGAAUUUACUUGAUUUUUUAAUGAAAAAACCUCAAUUUUGAAAAAUUGGCGCUUGACCCCAUUUGUCAUUCUACCCUUCAAUUUCCCUCAAUUAAACAAUUGCAAUAAAAGGAGAAACUUAAAAAAAUCAUUUUCUUGGGUGAAUGAAUCACUUAAGGGGAAGCACUACCUUUAUUUUGACCUUAACA